GUCUAAGUUCUAGCCAAAACCUUAUUUUUUUUUUUUAAAAAAAAAAGAAAUAAACGGUGAAACCGCGAAAAGCUCCUUAAAUCGGCUUUGGUUCCUUAGAUAGUAAGCAGAUGUGAUUUUUUUUUAAAAUGUAAAUUUUAAAAAAAAAGAAAAUCUGAAAUGGAUAACUGUGGUAAUUCUAGAGCUAAUACAUGAAAAUUAUUUCAGUGUGAAAAUUUUUUAAAAAGAAAUUUUUGCACGCUUUUAUUAGAGGAAAAAGCCAAUUUUUAUUAAAUAAAACAUUUAAAAAAUAUAUAUCAUUAAAUUGAUAAUUUUUUAAAAUGGUGUUGAAUCUGAAUAACUUGAAUGAAUUUCUUUUGAAAAAUAUUUAUCGUAUAGAAUAUUUUAUAAUUUUUAUUGAAUUUAAUUUUUUCAAAAUAAAUAUAAACAUUAAAAUUUAUUAUAUUUCGGUGUAAUUAUUUUAUGUUUAAAAUGAUAUUUAUUAGAAAAAAUAUUUUUAAAAAAAAAUAUAAAAUAUUUCGAUAAAUUUUUAAGUAAAAAGAAAUUUAAAGCAGACCGCAAAAAAAAUUUUNNNNNNNNNNNNNNNNNNNNNNUCAAUUGUCUGCCUUAUCAACUGUCGAUGGUAGAUUACAUGUCUACCAUGGUUGUAACGGGUAACGGGGAAUCAGGGUUCGAUUCCGGAGAGGGAGCCUGAGAAACGGCUACCACAUCUAAGGAAGGCAGCAGGCGCGCAAAUUACCCACUCCCGGCACGGGGAGGUAGUGACGAUAAAUAACGAUCCGGAACUCUAAUGAGUUUCCGUAAUCGGAAUGAGUACAAUUUAAAUCCUUUAACAAGGAGCAAAUGGAGGGCAAGUCUGGUGCCAGCAGCCGCGGUAAUUCCAGCUCCAUUAGCAUAUAUUAAAGUUGUUGCGUUUAAAAAGCUCGUAGUUGAAUCUGUAUCUCAUCAUGGUUAAUCGCUCAUAAUUUAAUUUAUGUAGUUUGAUUUAACAUUUUGUAUGAGAUAUAAAUACUGGUGGAUUUUUCGAAAUUGAAUUUUUAUAUUUAUAUUUUUUUUAAUAAAAUAUAAAUUGAAUUUUCAAUUUUUAAAAUUCGAUAUAAUAAUUUUUAAUAAAAAAAGUUUAUUAAUAAUUGUUUUAAAUAUUGUUUUUUUUUUAAUUAAAAAAUUAAUAUUUAAUUAAAUUUUUGAUAACUUUUUAUUAAAAAUGAAAUUAUAUUCUAAUAAAAUUAUUUUAUAUAAUUUUUAUUAGACCAGUAAAAUUACUUUGAACAAAUUAGAGUGCUUAAAGCAGGCAAAUUUAUAUGCCUUGAAUAUAACAGCAUGGAAUAAUAGAAUAUGAUCUCGAUACUGUUUUUUUAAAAUAUGAAAUUUUUUAUUCUUUUGAAUAAAAAUUUCAAAAAAAAUUGGCUUAAAGAAAUAAAAUUAUUACUUGAAAUUUAUAUUGCAAAGAAAACAUGGUUUUUUUUUGUUCAUUGCAAAAUUUUUUUGUAUUAAAAUGAUUUAAAAAAAAAACAAUAUUAUUUUGUAAAAUUUCAUGUAUUUAUUUCGA
rnacentral:rRNA from 1 species